rnacentral:rRNA from 1 species
AGUGAACGCUGGUGGUAGGCCUAACACAUGCAAGUCGAACGGCAGCACAGUAAGAGCUUGCUCUUACGGGUGGCGAGUGGCGGACGGGUGAGGAAUACAUCGGAAUCUACUUUUUCGUGGGGGAUAACGUAGGGAAACUUACGCUAAUACCGCAUACGACCUACGGGUGAAAGCAGGGGAUCUUCGGACCUUGCGCGAUUGAAUGAGCCGAUGUCGGAUUAGCUAGUUGGCGGGGUAAAGGCCCACCAAGGCGACGAUCCGUAGCUGGUCUGAGAGGAUGAUCAGCCACACUGGAACUGAGACACGGUCCAGACUCCUACGGGAGGCAGCAGUGGGGAAUAUUGGACAAUGGGCGCAAGCCUGAUCCAGCCAUACCGCGUGGGUUAAGAAGGCCUUCGGGUUGUAAAGCCCUUUUGUUGGGAAAGAAAAGCAGCAGGUUAAUACCCCGCUGUUCUGACGGUACCCAAAGAAUAAGCACCGGCUAACUUCGUG